UAGGGAAUCUUCCGCAAUGGACGAAAGUCUGACGGAGCAACGCCGCGUGAGUGAAGAAGGAUUUCGGUUCGUAAAACUCUGUUGUUAGGGAAGAAAAAAUGUAUAGUAACUAUAUACAAAAGAGACGGUACCUAACCAGAAAGCCACGGCUAACUACGUGCCAGCAGCCGCGGUAAUACGUAUGGGGCGAGCGUUGUCCGGAAUUAUUGGGCGUAAAGGGUACGUAGGCGGUCUAUUAAGUCAGGUGUGAAAGCGUGAGGCUUAACCUCAUUAAGCACUUGAAACUGAUAGACUUGAGUGAAGGAUAGGAAAGUGGAAUUCCUAGUGUAGCGGUGAAAUGCGUAGAUAUUAGGAGGAAUACCGGUGGCGAAGGCGACUUUCUGGACUUUUACUGACGCUCAGGUACGAAAGCGUGGGGAGCAAACAGG
rnacentral:rRNA from 1 species